GUCGAGCGAGAAAGUGUAGCAAUACAUGAGUAAAGCGGCGCACGGGUGAGUAACACGUGGAUAACCUGCCUCAAAGUGGGGAAUAACACCGGGAAACCGGUGCUAAUACCGCAUAUUCUGACGAGAUCUGUGGAUUUUGUCAGGAAAGGAGCAAUUCGCUAUGAGAGGGGUCCGCGGCUGAUUAGCUAGUUGGUGAGGUAAUGGCUCACCAAGGCUUUGAUCAGUAGCCGGUCUGAGAGGACGGUCGGCCACACUGGAACUGAGACACGGUCCAGACUCCUACGGGAGGCAGCAGUGGGGAAUUUUUCGCAAUGGGGGAAACCCUGACGAAGCAAUGCCGCGUGGAUGAUGAAGUAUCUCGGUACGUAAAAUCCUUUCGACGGGGACGAAACCGCAAGGUUGACGGUACCCGUAGAAGAAGCCCCGGCUAACUCCGUGCCAGCAGCCGCGGUAAUACGGGGGGGGCGAGCGUUGUUCGGAAUUACUGGGCGUAAAGGGUGCGUAGGCGGCUUUCUAAGUCGGAUGUGAAAACUCUGGGCUCAACCCAGAGCCUGCAUCUGAAACUGGAGAGCUAGGGUUUUGGAGGGGAAAGCGGAAUUCCAGGUGUAGCGGUGAAAUGCGUAGAUAUCUGGAGGAACACCGGUGGCGAAGGCGGCUUUCUGGACAAAUACCGACGCUGAGGCACGAAAGCUAGGGGAGCAAACAGGAUUA
rnacentral:rRNA from 1 species